CAAAAGAAAGAAGGCCUCUCUCAGGCUCCUUGAUGAAAACUGAAGCCAAAAGGGACACAGUCUCCGAAAUAAAGGCACGCUAGCCCACAAUAUUUGCUCAACCAUGAAGAGGACAGCCACAGUUCUGAACAGUGUCCCUGAUGACUAGAGAUCCUUGUAGCAGUACAUAUUAAAGGACCAAGAAAUCAAGAGAUGACUUUCUAAAAGCAAAGAUUUCCUACAUAAAGGACUCACUGAAGGACAGGCUUUGCCUUCUCCCUGUUGCUCAUAUCUUACCCAGUCAAGGCCAC